rnacentral:rRNA from 1 species
CACAUGACUCUCGGCAACGGAUAUCUCGGCUCUCGCAUCGAUGAAGAACGUAGCAAAAUGCGAUACCUGGUGUGAAUUGCAGAAUCCCGUGAACCAUCGAGUUUUUGAACGCAAGUUGCGCCCGAGGUCUUCUGGUUGAGGGCACGUCUGCCUGGGCGUCACGC